rnacentral:rRNA from 1 species
GAUGAACGCUAGCGGCAGGCCUAAUACAUGCAAGCCGAACGGUAAUUCUGAUAGCAAUAUUGGAACUAGAGUGGCGUAAGGGUGCGUAACACGUAUGCAAUCUACCCGCAACAGGAGGAUAGCUCCCCGAAAGGGGAAUUAACCCUCCAUGAGAUCACACGAGGGCAUCCGAGAGUGAUUAAAUUUGAGGAGGUUGUGGAUGAGCAUGCGACUGAUAGCUAGUUGGCAGUGUAACGGACUACCAAGGCGAUGAUCAGUAGGGGAACUGAGAGGUUGA